rnacentral:tRNA from 1 species
ACUUUUUUAUUAUAAAAAUUAUAUUUGAUUUCCAAUCAAAAGAUCUUGAAUUAUUCAAGAAAAAGUA